rnacentral:rRNA from 1 species
AUGAACGCGUAGCGGCAGGCUUAACACAUGCAAGUCAGGGGCAACACGGGUAGCAAUACCUGGUGGCGACCGGCGCAAGGGUGCGUAACGCGUGAGCAACAUGCCCUAUACAGGGGGAUAAUCCAGGGAAACUUGGUCUAAUAUCCCAUAGUAUUUAGAGGUGGCAUCACCACUAAAUUAAAGCUUCGGUGGUAUAGGAUUGGCUCGCGUGACAUUAGCUUGAUGGUGGGUAACGGCUCACCAUGGCGAUGAUGUCUAGGGGUUCUGAGAGGAAGACCCCCCACACUGGGACUGAGACACGGCCCAGACUCCUACGGGAGGCAGCAGUGAGGAAUAUUGGACAAUGGAUGGAAAUCUGAUCCAGCCAUGCCGCGUGCAGGAAGACGGCCCUAUGGGUUGUAAACUGCUUUUAUAUGGGAGCAAUAAGGUUUACGCGUAGACCGAUGAGAGUACCAUAUGAAUAAGCAUCGGCUAACUCCGUG